GGAAAAGCUCUUUCCAGCAAGACGGAGAAGGAAUUAAUUAUACCUCUGCCUCAUCCCGUGAGACCAGAAGACACCGAGUAACUAACUCCUUAGAUAAACCUUAGGAGGAACCGGUCCAAGGAAGGAGCGCCUUCUGGAACUGUCGAGCCUUCAUUUGGCAGCUCGGUGACUGGCUUGGUCUACUUGUGAGGUGCUGAGGGAAGAUGUCUGCUGUUCCAAAACGAUACAAAUAAAAACUGGGGUCCCUUGUGUCGUUGAGGGGUGGGUGCUAA